rnacentral:rRNA from 1 species
GACCUUAGUUGCCAGCAUUCAGUUGGGCACUCUAAGGUGACUGCCGGCUAAAAGUCGGAGGAAGGUGGGGAUGACGUCAAAUCAUCAUGCCCCUUAUGACCUGGGCUACACACGUGCUACGAAUGGGCGGUACAAAGGGUCGCGAACCCGCGAGGGGGAGCCAAUCCCAAAAAGCCGCUCUCAGUUCGGAUUGCAGGCUGCAACUCGCCUGCAUGAAGCCGGAAUCGCUAGUAAUCGCGGAUCAGCAUGCCGCGGUGAAUACCGGUUCCCGGGCCUU